UGGGGAAUAUUGCACAAUGGGCGCAAGCCUGAUGCAGCCAUGCCGCGUGUGUGAAGAAGGCCUUCGGGUUGUAAAGCACUUUCAGCGGGGAGGAAGGCGAUAAGGUUAAUAACCUUGUCGAUUGACGUUACCCGCAGAAGAAGCACCGGCUAACUCCGUGCCAGCAGCCGCGGUAAUACGGAGGGUGCAAGCGUUAAUCGGAAUUACUGGGCGUAAAGCGCACGCAGGCGGUCUGUCAAGUCGGAUGUGAAAUCCCCGGGCUUAACCUGGGAACUGCAUUCGAAACUGGCAGGCUAGAGUCAUGUAGAGGGGGGUAGAAUUCCAGGUGUAGCGGUGAAAUGCGUAGAGAUCUGGAGGAAUACCGGUGGCGAAGGCGGCCCCCUGGACAAAGACUGACGCUCAGGUGCGAAAGCGUGGGGAGCAAACAGG
rnacentral:rRNA from 1 species